AGUAAACCCAACAUCCCGAGUCACAUUUUGCAUAUGCAAUCACAUCACAAGAAAUACACAUGCUGUGCACAAUGGGACAAAAAAAGCAAGCGAGAGACAGAUCGAGAGGAAGAGAGGGAGAGAGAGAGACAGAAAAAGAGAGAGAGAACAAACCUACAGUAUGUUAUUGAAGCGAUCCAGACUGGUACUGCUACAGCAAGCAACAAUCCCAUUGCUCAUAUUGUGCAGAUAUCAUCUGAG